rfam:Deltaproteobacteria bacterium RIFCSPLOWO2_02_FTLL_53_8 rifcsplowo2_02_scaffold_130760, whole genome shotgun sequence.
GGAAGGGCGACCGACCGUGGGAAGGAAGCGUGGAGCGAAACUGCGAGCCCGACGCCCCGAAGGAAGUCCUCUUGGGGGAUGAACAAGAACCGGAUAGAAGGCGCUGCCGGGCGGGGCGAGCGGGCAUAAACCGCAAAGCUCUCGUGGCCAAGGCGAAGCGACGUAAAUCCGGCGGUUGUGCAGUUUCAAGCAGAGGAU